UUCAGAUGUGAGAUCGUAAAAAUUGAUUCGUAAAGAAACACAAAAAAAAGAAGUAACUAUAAAGAUUCUGAUUCGAAGUCUCAAGGGUACUCGAAGACGAAAAUGGCAAAGAAAUCGCAAACGGCAAUCACGGACUAGGUACUAACCUAAUCAACCAAUCUUCGUUCUGUUCCUCUGUUUCACUGUUCCUCGAUUCUUUUACUCAAAGAAGGGAAAUGAUUUGCUAUCCUCGAAUUAUUCUUUCCGUUACAAUUCUUAUCAAAUGAAGUUUAAUAGUUUCAACUAUAGAUCGGUCCACUCUUUCCCGACUGGAAUGACUUAUGGGCAUGCGGCGUGCUUUUAGUCUCCACGAGACUAUCACAGGAUUAUAGUGAGCCAUGCAACUAUAAUAAUCAUUCUCGUAGCGAUUUUACUUUUCUUCGAUAAUAUUGGAAUUUUGAUUAUGGAGUGAUUUUUGCCGGCUUCUAGAUAAAAAAUAUAUCAAAAAUGGAUAAAAUAAUCCUAGCACAAUUGGACUAUAAUAAUCUCCAAAACUUGUUCAUAGAAAAAUACGAAAUUCACCAUUGCUCUUCCCUAUUCUCUGCGCUCAACAUUCCAAUUAAUGUAAAUCGUGGUAGUAACGAUACUCCAUUGGGAUCGCUUCGUGGAAAUUUCCGUGCAUUCUGAAAAUUGCUAGGUCCCCAAGUGAGCGAAAAUUGGAUCGUUUGUAUCAUUUGCGAUUGUAACGCCGACAAAUGCCAUCCUAGACUAUUAUAAACACGACAGAAUGAGGUUUGGCAGAGAGUAGGCCAAUGAUCGGAUUAUCCUGGAAACUUCUUGGGCAGAGAAACACCCGUGAACUUAGUACGUGCUGAGAAGCGUGUACCAUGCGCUCGUAUAUCGACAUAAGGCAUUGUUAGGAUUCCCGGGGGACAAACCGAGAUCAAACGCUGUUAGCGCAAACUAUGCCCUCGAUUCUCGCUUAAGUUCAUUUUACUGCCAUACCUCCAAUGCUCGCGAGAUAGUGUUGUUAGUGCCUUUUUUUUUGAA